GAUGAACGCUAGCUACAGGCUUAACACAUGCAAGUCGCGGGGCAGCAUGGGGGUUGCUUGCAAUCCCCGAUGGCGACCGGCGCACGGGUGAGUAACGCGUAUCCAACCUGCCCUUCACCACGGGAUAACCCGGCGAAAGUCGGACUAAUACCGUAUGUUGUCCAUUGACGGCAUCCGAUUUGGACGAAAGGCUUGGCGGUGAGGGAUGGGGAUGCGUCCGAUUAGCCAGACGGCGGGGUAACGGCCCACCGUGGCUACGAUCGGUAGGGGUUCUGAGAGGAAGGUCCCCCACACUGGAACUGAGACACGGUCCAGACUCCUACGGGAGGCAGCAGUGAGGAAUAUUGGUCAAUGGGCGUAAGCCUGAACCAGCCAAGUAGCGUGCAGGAUGACGGCCCUAUGGGUGGUAAACUGCUUUUAUGCGGGGAUAAAGUGGCCCACGGGUGGGCUUUUGCAGGUACCGCAUGAAUAAGGACCGGCUAAUUCCGUG
rnacentral:rRNA from 1 species